rnacentral:lncRNA from 1 species
GAUUUUUUUUUUAAUAUAAUAAAAAUAAUAAUUCAAAAUUUUUAUACUUAUUUUGAUUAUGACGAUUUACAAAUAUUACAACACAUACUUAUAAACUUAUCAAAAGAUAAGCUUUUUUCUUAUUAUUCCAUUAUGGAUGACAUACAGAAUGUUAUAAUAAAUAGUACUGGCUUUAACAAUUCCCAUAUGUAUAAAUAUUUUGUUUGUACUUAUAAUCUAUUAGAGACAAAGGAAGCAAUUAACCAAUACCAAACGGAAUGGAAAAAAGAAAAAAUUAAGAAAAAUAAACAUUUUGUAUUAAAAUUUUUAAAUUAUUUUUUAAAAAAAAAAAAAAAAACGGAUGCCUAUAUUCAAUUUUUAACAGAUCAGGAACAUGUGGCUGUUAAAAGUGACACACAGUACUUUGAAGAAAAUCUACAAAAUAAUCUAACCAAUUGGAAUCGAACAAAUUUGAUAAAUAUUAAUUGGAACGACAAUAAUAAUAAUAAUAAUAAUAAUAACAACACCAUAAUAAGCACACAAACCAACCAAACGGAUAUAGAUCACGUUAGUGCUAGCUACUAUAAAAAGAACUCAUUUAGCAGCCAAAAAAUAUACAACGAAACUUUAAUAUUUGAUAGUUUAGAUAAUGAAAGGGGAGGCGUAUGGUCCCCUAUAUCGCAUAACAAAAGGACUGACGAAUGGGCGAAUGAAUUGGCUAAUGAACGGACUAGCAAAUUGUCUAAUUGCAAAAGUAAAACUGCAGUAUAUAACGAAAUGUUUGGAAAUGGUCACGUUGAACAUAAACAACUUGACAUAGAACGGUUGGACCACGGGGAAUCUGAUUACGAACAGUUGAACUUUAAUAAUCUAUAUUGCCAUAAAAAAAAAAAAAAAAAAAAAAUUAAACACUUUUUAAGGGUGCGCACACAUACAGAAGAUACGGAUAAUGAAUGGUUUCAUAAUAAUUAUAAAAGUUUUGAUAAUUUUUUAAGCGAAAAAAGUUUGGAAGAAAGCGACUUUGUGUUUUUUAAAAACACGAAGGAUGAAGAUACGGAGAAAUCGUUGGGCGGUAAGUUUUUUGAAAACAUAAUUGAGCAUAUGGAAGGUGAGUAUGCCACUAGACAUAAGAGUGGGCAUAAGAGUGAACAUAAGAGUGGACAUAUGGAUGGACAUAUGGGUGGACAUAUGGGUGGACAUACAACUGAGAGCGCAGCUUUCCAAACCAACUGCACACCAAUAUAUCAUACAAACGUAACAUAUGAAAUAAAACCAUCAAUAGAACAAAAAAAGUAUACUAUUACACAACCAAUGUGUGAAAACAUGCUAACAGAAAGGUACGAACUUAUUUUAAAUUAUUAUAAAUUGAAUAGAGAAAUAUACAUAAAUGAUUACAUAAAUAAAAAAAGAGAGACGUUAAUAAUUCUACAGCAUUAUAAAAACAUAAUGAAUUUUUAUGAAAAUGAAAAAACACCAGAUGAUAAUUAUGAACAGGCUCAUACAAAUUAUUAUAAAGAAAGUUAUAAUUUUGAAAAAUCUUUUUAUUUGGGUGAAGAAAUGUCAGAAACGAAUUGUUUUAUUUUAGCUCAUAAUAAAAAUAGAAUAGGAAAUUGUUUUCAUAUAGAAAAAAAAAAUUAUAUAAACAAUUGUUUGGAUUUAUUAGUUACAGUAGAUUUGUAUAUGGAAUCCAAAGUAGAUAUAUAUAACAG